AUCGAUGAAGAACGCAGCGAAAUGCGAUAAGUAAUGCGAAUUGCAGAAUUCCAGUGAGUCAUCGAAUCUUUGAACGCACAUUGCGCCCUUUGGUAUUCCGAAGGGCAUGCCUGUUCGAGCGUCAUUAUCACCCCUCAAGCCCCGUGCUUGGUGUUGGACGGCUUGGUCGCGUCACCGCGACUCCUCCUAAAGACAAUGACGGCGGCCUGUGGUUCCCCCGGUACACUGAGCUUUUAAUUGAGCACGUAUUGGAUAAGGGCACCCGGGACCCGGUCUUCUCCCUUUACCGGGAAAUUUUUCAAUGGUUGACCUCGGAUCAGGUAGGAAUACGCGCUGAACUUAAGCAUAUCAAUAAGCGCAGGAAAAGAAACCAACAGGGAUUACCUCAGUAACGGCGAGUGAAGCGGUAAUAGCUCAAAUUUGAAAUCUGGCCUCUUGGGGUCCGAGUUGUAAUUUGUAGAGGAUGUUUUGGGUACCGCCCCGGUUUAAAUUUCUUGGAACAGAAUGUCAAAGAGGGUGAGAAUCCCGUCUUGGACCGGUGGUAGGGCCUGUGUAAAACUCCUUCGACGAGUCGAGUUGUUUGGGAAUGCAGCUCAAAAUGGGUGGUAAAUUUCAUCUAAAGCUAAAUAUUGGCCAGAGACCGAUAGCGCACAAGUAGAGUGAUCGAAAGAUGAAAAGCACUUUGAAAAGAGAGUUAAACAGUAUGUGAAAUUGUUGAAAGGGAAGCGCUUGCAAUCAGACUUGAGCGCGGCGGUUCCCCUGACCUUUUGGUUAGGCUAUUCCGUCGUGUCCAGGCCAACAUCGGUUCUGAGGGUCGGUCAAAGGCCUUGGGAAUGUAUCUACCUACGGGUAGACUUAUAGACCAGGGUGUCAUGCGGCCUCUCGGGACCGAGGAACGCGCUUCGGCUCGGAUGUUGGCGUAAUGGUUGUCAGCGACCCGUCUUGAAACACGG
rnacentral:rRNA from 1 species